CGCGCAGGCGGUCGAUUAAGUCGAGUGUGAAAGCCCCCGGCUCAACUGGGGAGGGUCACUUGAUACUGGUCGACUCGAAGGCAGGAGAGGGAAGUGGAAUUCCCGGUGUAGUGGUGAAAUGCGUAGAUAUCGGGAGGAACACCAGUGGCGAAGGCGACUUCCUGGCCUGUUCUUGACGCUGAGGCGCGAAAGCUAGGGGAGCAAACGG
rnacentral:rRNA from 1 species